CGAUGGGAAACAGGUUAAUAUUCCUGUACUUGGUGUUACUGCGAAGGGGGGACGGAGAAGGCUAUGUUGGCCGGGCGACGGUUGUCCCGGUUUAAGCGUGUAGGCUGGUUUUCCAGGCAAAUCCGGAAAAUCAAGGCUGAGGCGUGAUGACGAGGCACUACGGUGCUGAAGCAACAAAUGCCCUGCUUCCAGGAAAAGCCUCUAAGCAUCAGGUAACAUCAAAUCGUACCCCAAACCGACACAGGUGGUCAGGUAGAGAAUACCAAGGCGCUUGAGAGAACUCGGGUGAAGGAACUAGGCAAAAUGGUGCCGUAACUUCGGGAGAAGGCACGCUGAUAUGUAGGUGAAGUCCCUUGCGGAUGGAGCUGAAAUCAGUCGAAGAUACCAGCUGGCUGCAACUGUUUAUUAAAAACACAGCACUGUGCAAACACGAAAGUGGACGUAUACGGUGUGACGCCUGCCCGGUGCCGGAAGGUUAAUUGAUGGGGUCAGCGCAAGCGAAGCUCUUGAUCGAAGCCCCGGUAAACGGCGGCCGUAACUAUAACGGUCCUAAGGUAGCGAAAUUCCUUGUCGGGUAAGUUCCGACCUGCACGAAUGGCGUAAUGAUGGCCAGGCUGUCUCCACCCGAGACUCAGUGAAAUUGAACUCGCUGUGAAGAUGCAGUGUACCCGCGGCAAGACGGAAAGACCCCGUGAACCUUUACUAUAGCUUGACACUGAACAUUGAGCCUUGAUGUGUAGGAUAGGUGGGAGGCUUUGAAGUGUGGACGCCAGUCUGCAUGGAGCCGGCCUUGAAAUACCACCCUUUAAUGUUUGAUGUUCUAACGUGGACCCGUGAUCCGGGUUGCGGACAGUGUCUGGUGGGUAGUUUGACUGGGGCGGUCUCCUCCUAAAGAGUAACGGAGGAGCACGAAGGUUGGCUAAUCCUGGUCGGACAUCAGGAGGUUAGUGCAAUGGCAUAAGCCAGCUUGACUGCGAGCGUGACGGCGCGAGCAGGUGCGAAAGCAGGUCAUAGUGAUCCGGUGGUUCUGAAUGGAAGGGCCAUCGCUCAACGGAUAAAAGGUACUCCGGGGAUAACAGGCUGAUACCGCCCAAGAGUUCAUAUCGACGGCGGUGUUUGGCACCUCGAUGUCGGCUCAUCACAUCCUGGGGCUGAAGUAGGUCCCAAGGGUAUGGCUGUUCGCCAUUUAAAGUGGUACGCGAGCUGGGUUUAGAACGUCGUGAGACAGUUCGGUCCCUAUCUGCCGUGGGCGCUGGAGAACUGAGGGGGGCUGCUCCUAGUACGAGAGGACCGGAGUGGACGCAUCACUGGUGUUCGGGUUGUCAUGCCAAUGGCACUGCCCGGUAGCUAAAUGCGGAAGAGAUAAGUGCUGAAAGCAUCUAAGCACGAAACUUGCCCCGAGAUGAGUUCUCCCUGACCCUUUAAGGGUCCUGAAGGAACGUUGAAGACGACGACGUUGAUAGGCCGGGUGUGUAAGCGCAGCGAUGCGUUGAGCUAACCGGUACUAAUGAACCGUGAGG
rnacentral:rRNA from 1 species